rnacentral:lncRNA from 1 species
UUCGAGGACCACAGGGCCUGCAUGCCGAGCACCUGCGCAGAGUACGCCGCCACCUGCAACGACCUCGGCAGCAUUGUGUGGUGGCUUCCGCUGCAAUGAGGGCCCGGGCAAGGAUACCAACGCCUUGCAGUUCGUGGACCACGUCACCGAGAAGUUGAACCUGGCGCAGCUUCCAAUGAUGCCUGGCCCUGCCGCCUGGUGUUUGCGGCUAGUAGCUCCAGCGCCUUGGCCUGCCUGGUUGCCCACAUCUCGCAGCUACGGCAUGAGCUGGAUAACCAAGAAAUGUGUUGCCAUUAUCAUCUAUAAAUUUCCUGCUACCGAC